rnacentral:rRNA from 1 species
AUCUGCUCAGGAUGAACGCUGGCGGCGUGCCUAACACAUGCAAGUCGAACGGAGCUGCUUUGAUGAAGUUUUCGGAUGGAUUUAAAACAGCUUAGUGGCGGACGGGUGAGUAACGCGUGGGUAACCUGCCUCACACUGGGGGAUAACAGUUAGAAAUAGCUGCUAAUACCGCAUAAGCGCACGGUUCCGCAUGGAACAGUGUGAAAAACUCCGGUGGUGUGAGAUGGACCCGCGUCUGAUUAG